UGAGGGUUUGUAUUGAUAAUUUGGAUUUUAUGUAAUAUAAUUAUGGCUAGCAAUUUUAGUUAAUUUGUGCAAUUGGUAUAGUAUCUAUAGUUCAAAAUUUGAUAUUAUUUUGAUUAUUGGGUGUACUAAGUAUAUGCAAAAUUUUGUGGUAAUCUAAUGGUGUGGUUUAGAGAUAUCUAGUUUUUAGCACGAGGAUUUCAGAAGUUGGUAAUUUGAGGUUUGGUAGGAUUUUUGUGAUAUCUAGAAAUCUACUAGUUGGAUCAAGGUGAAAUUUAGCAU
rnacentral:lncRNA from 1 species